CUCUUUUUGAUUAUAAUUUAAAGUAGGGCCUGCCCACUGAUUAUUUGAAGGGCCGCAGUAUUUUGACUGUGCAAAGGUAGCAUAAUCAUUAGUUUUUUAAUUGAAAGCUUGUAUGAAUGGUUUGAUGAAAAAAUUACUGUUUCAAUUUAAAUUUUAAGAAUUUUAUUUUUAAGUAAAAAAGCUUAAAUGGAGUUUAAAGACGAGAAGACCCUAUAGAGUUUAACUAAAUUUAAAUUUUUUAUUUAAGGAAUUAUUUUGUAAAGAUUUUAAGUAAGUUUUGUUGGGGUGACAAAAAAAUUUGAAUAACUUUUUUUAUAUAAUUAUACUAAUUAGUAAGUUUUUGAUCCAUAGGAUGAUAAAAAGACUAAAUUACCUUAGGGAUAACAGCGUAAUUUUUUUUUAUAGUUCAAAUUGAAAAAAAAGAUUGCGACCUCGAUGUUGGAUUAAAAUUAAUUUUUGGUGAAGAAGCUAAAAAAUUAGGUCUGUUCGACCUUUAAAAUUUUACAUGAUCUGAGUUUAAACCGGUGUAAGCCAGGUUGGUUUCUAUCUUAAAUUUAUAUAAUAUUUUAGUACGAAAGGAUCAAUUAUUGUAUUAAUAAUAAUAAAUUAAGAAUUUUAUUUUGGCAGAGUAGUGCAAUGGAUUUAGAAUCUUUAAAUGUGUAUAACACAAAUAAAAAUUGAUUUUCUUUUAAUUUUAUUAAAUUUUUUUAUUUUAUUUGUAGGUGUUUUAGUAGGGGUUGCUUUUUUAACGUUAUUAGAACGAAAGCUAUU
rnacentral:rRNA from 1 species